rnacentral:rRNA from 1 species
UACAGAGGGGGCAAGCGUUGUUCGGAAUUACUGGGCGUAAAGGGCGCGUAGGCGGCCUUCUAAGUCGAACGUGAAAUCCCCGGGCUCAACCCGGGAACUGCGUCCGAUACUGGAAGGCUUGAAUCCGGGAGAGGGAUGUGGAAUUCCAGGUGUAGCGGUGAAAUGCGUAGAUAUGACAUAGAACACCCAUUGCGAAGGCAGCUAACUACGCGAUCAUUGACGCUGAUGCACGAAAGCGUGGGGAUCAAACAGG